AGGUGAGCGGGGUCGAGUGGCGGGGCCGGGGGCGCGGCGGGCCGGUGAUGAUCAUAUCUCUUAUUUCUUUCUGACACCUCGUCUGAGGGCGGCGGGCGGCCGCGGCCCUUGCUGAGGAUGCACGGCUGAGGCCCGAGGGAGCCGCGGCGGGGCCGGCUGGGCGGCGCGGCCUGAUCUUACCGCCAUACCUUCUCUCCUCAGGGGCCGGCGGGAACCGGGCGGCGGCGGCCUGAGGGGCAGCGAGGCGAGGCGGGAGCCCGGCGGCAUCCUCCCCACUCUGGCAGGGUUAGCCUCCGGGUUUCGGCCAGGAAUGAAACAAAAGCUGUAAACGAGAGCCAGCAAAAAUGAGAAGUUGCGUGUAAUGCCGAGUCCUCUGGCUUGUCUGAAUGCGCUGAACCAUUCUUCAUCGCUUGGUGGCAGUAAAGGCCCGUGGAAGAAGAUGACAACAGUCUGAGGGAAGAGCUUUAGGGUGAGGUCAGUGUGCAGGCACUGGGAGACCAGUACAGAGGGAACUUGUGACUGGGAGAGGUGGGGGCUGAGUCUGGCUUAGAGUUUAGGUGUAACACCCAAAACGCAGCUGUGAUGUCUGCUGUAGUAGAGUUAGUUCCCAACAGGCAUGUUUAAAGUACUCCAGAGUGUAGCAUGUACAUCUUUAAAUAAAUUAGUUUUUUAAUUGGU